rnacentral:lncRNA from 1 species
AAAAAAAAAACCUCAAAACAAAACUAAUUGACUACCAAUCCAAGCAGAAGAAAACCUUAAAAAAAAAAAAAAACAUCAAAUCUGCAAUUCACACGAAAUUUACACAAUAAACUAUUAGAAUCAACUCAAAACCGUGAUCAAAAUCAAGAAGAUUUCUCAAAAUCGUUGCAUUAGAUAAACCCCAAAUUUAGACAGAAAGUACCUCUUUCGACGUAAGCCAUCGCAGAGAGAAUUUCCUGUUUUUCCUUUUUCUCUUUUCCGGGUUCUUCCUAUGCUUUCGUGGCUU